ensembl:misc_RNA 7SK 7SK RNA
GGACGUGAGGCUGCGACAUCUGUCACCUCAUUGAUCACCAGGAUUGACUCUGCCGAUCUGGCUGGCUAGGAGGGUGUCCCCUUCCUCCACAACUGCUCCAUGGGUGUCCCUCCCAAAGACGCAUGCUAGAUCAAAGAGGGCCACCUUCCUGGAAUAGAGGAGGAUGGGUCCUCAGUUAGGGGCAUAGGAAGGAGUAGCUGUGCUCCCCUGCUGAACCCUCCAAACAAGCUCUCACAAGCCAAAGUGAUCUGGGUCUCCAUCAUAUCCACCCAAAUUAAUCCUAGCUGCCUGGACAUGCUUGUUAU